rnacentral:rRNA from 1 species
GAUGAACGCUGGCGGCGUGCCUAAUACAUGCAAGUCGAACGAAACUUCUUUAUCACCGAGUGCUUGCACUCACCGAUAAAGAGUUGAGUGGCGAACGGGUGAGUAACACGUGGGCAACCUGCCCAAAAAAGGGGGAUAACACUUGGAAACAGGUGCUAAUACCGCAUAACCAUAGUUACCGCAUGGUAACUAUGUAAAAGGUGGCUAUACUACCGCGUUUGGAUGGGCCCGCGGCGCAUUAGCUAGUUGGUAGGGUAAAGGCUUACCAAGGCAAUGAUGCGUAGCCGAAUUGAGAGGUAGGUCGGCCACAUUGGGACUGAGACACGGCCCAAACUCCUACGGGAGGCAGCAGUAGGGAAUCUUCCACAAAGGGCGAAAGCCUGAUGGUGCAACGCCGCGUGGGUGAAGAAGGUCUUCGGAUCGUUAAACCCUGUUGUUAGAGAAGAAAGUGCGUGAUAGUAACUGUUCACGUUUUGACGGUAUCUAACCAGAAAGCCACUGCUAACUACGUG